GAUGAACGCUGGCGGCGUGCUUAACACAUGCAAGUCGAACGAUGAACCUCACUUGUGGGGGGAUUAGUGGCGAACGGGUGAGUAACACGUGAGUAACCUGCCCUUGACUCUGGGAUAAGCCUGGGAAACCGGGUCUAAUACUGGAUACGACCUUCUGGCGCAUGCCAUGUUGGUGGAAAGCUUUUGUGGUUUUGGAUGGACUCGCGGCCUAUCAGCUUGUUGGUGGGGUAAUGGCCUACCAAGGCGACGACGGGUAGCCGGCCUGAGAGGGUGACCGGCCACACUGGGACUGAGACACGGCCCAGACUCCUACGGGAGGCAGCAGUGGGGAAUAGUGCACAAUGGGCGCAAGCCUGAUGCAGCGACGCCGCGUGAGGGAUGAAGGCCUUCGGGUUGUAAACCUCUUUCAGUAGGGAAGAAGCCGGCUUUUGGGUUGGUGACGGUACCUGCAGAAGAAGCGCCGGCUAACUACGUG
rnacentral:rRNA from 1 species